CUGGUUCAUAGGUCAACGCUCAACCCCUGAGCCACGCUGCCCCGGCCUGGAGAGUAUGCCUUUUGGAGAGCGCUAGGCCCUGCACUGGUGGCUCAUUCCUCCAUCCACGCAGCAUUUGUGUACAUUCAAGUUUGUUCUCUGUUUCUGGGUCCAGCAUAGGCCUGCUCUGUGAAGCUGGGGGUACGGCCAGUCUGGGAUCCACGAGGCUCCUGUGCAGGUCCGGGCAGGAGGGGGUGACACUAUACCUUUGAAUGAUGGUGUUUAAAAGAAAAACACCCCCCUCCCCUAGAAAGAAA